rnacentral:rRNA from 1 species
UACGUAGGGCGCAAGCGUUGUCCGGAAUUAUUGGGCGUAAAGAGCUCGUAGGCGGCCUGUUGCGUCCGCUGUGAAAUCCCGGGGCUCAACCCCGGGCGUGCAGUGGAUACGGGCUGGCUGGAGGCAGGCAGGGGAGAACGGAAUUCCUGGUGUAGCGGUGAAAUGCGCAGAUAUCAGGAGGAACACCGGUGGCGAAGGCGGUUCUCUGGGCCUGUACUGACGCUGAGGAGCAAAAGCGUGGGGAGCGAACAGG